rnacentral:tRNA from 1 species
CACGUUCUCGCGCAUGGUGCCGUAGCGCACGGCGUUGGUGCCGCUGGCGCGGGUGGCGGUCAUGCCGCCGAGCGUGGC